UUGAGAGAAAGACUCAGGGAAGCCUGUGUAGAGUUUGGUGACAGAGAGACUGUUUGUCACAGUAUGCAUUACCUAAUCAGAGUAAAAUUCUUUCUGGAGUGAUGAUUAAACCCAGGAUGUGCUACGUGCUAGAUGACAGCACUACCUCUGAGCAACCCUUCUAGACUUGAGUCAGGCCAGUGCCUCAGGCUGGUGAUCUUCCUGCCUUAACCUCCCAGGCCAUCACCACUGAGUGAGUGCGUAUGUAGGCCACAGUUCCAGCAAAACGCUGAGCUUCCUCAGGCUUCUUAAGUCCGACAUAGAACGAUCACUGGGAGAGGCAGCUAAGUUUUCUUUGACAGCCUUACCUGAUUUGGUUUGUCAAGAAGUGGGCAGCCGCCAGCAUACUCUCUGGCCACUGUAUCCACCCUCAUGAUGGACCGAAAUCUCUUAAAUAAUGAGCCGAUAUGAACCGUCUGUCCUUAUUUCAGAGAUGACAAAGGGACAAAACUGGGAAAGAGGUCACCAAUCACCGUUGUCAAGAAGGAGACAAGGCCUGACCACACACCAGAGAGCCUGUAGACAGGGUGUAUUCUCAGAUGGGGAAGUCAUGGCAACACUAGCAGACCCCAGUCCUUGCUCCUGCUGUGGAAAGUGACUUAGUCCAAAGACUUGCUUGGACGUGACACUGGUGACAUCUGUACACUCAGAAAUUUGCAUUUUAGAGCAGGAAGCCAGAUCCCAGAUCUCAGCCGAUGAAUGAUCCCUCAAUAAGGGAAGACUGAUGAAGAAAGCCAUUGUAUGAAGAAAAGAAGGGUGAAUUCCUUUCCUGGUUCUCACUAAAGCCUUCAGCCAUCUUAGCCAAGUUCAACGCUUAGAAAGAAAGAAGGACAAUGUUCCACUACGUUCAUAGCAGCCUUAUUUAUAAUAGCCAG